rnacentral:tRNA from 1 species
UGGGCCGUCGCCAAGCGGUAAGGCACCGGGUUUUGAUCCCGUCAUUCGUAGGUUCGAUCCCUACCGGCCCAGCCA